GGAGCACGCUAGUAGGCCAUGCUGGUAGUAGUAGCAGCCGCCGCCGCUGGAGGAGCCCCCACUCCCGGGCAGCCUCCCGCGCCUGGGAAGCCAACCCCCAGCAAGCAAGCAAGCAAGCAAGCGCCGCUGCUUGGCGGGAGCUGCCUGGCUCCCUCCGUGGAAGCCAAGCGCAGGAGGGAAGCCGCCUCUCUCGGCUUUUGCCAGCCUCCGAGCCGCGAGAGCAGCGAGACGAGCCGUCCCCGUCAUCCGAUCCCAGCCGCCGAGCCAAAGCUGAGCGGAAGCAGCCCUCGUUUGGUUCCAAGCAGGAACUGCCUUGCCCAUACAUGGCGCUUCCUGCCCUGCGCGCCAUACAUGGCCCUUCCUCGCGCGCCAUAAAAGGCGCUUCCUUCCCUCGGCGGCUGCUGGCUCGAGGCCUGGCCUGGCCUGGCCCGGCCCAGCCCGGCGGCGGGAGAGCAAAGGGAACAAUCCGCCCGCGGGGUGAGGCGGGGAGGGAGGCAGGGAAAGAGAGAGAGAGAGAGAAAGGCGAGGUGACUGGGUUUGCCAAGCCCUUUAUGGAGCGGCCCCGGAGGCCACGAAAGGAGGAGUGCUGGCGAAAAGAGGAAUGGCUCAUUUGUUGCUGCCGCUGCUCAGGCCGUUGCCUGUUAGAAUAAAAACAAAAUAAUGCCGCCGCCGCCGCCCCGCUCAGCGCCCUGUUUUACCCAGAGGGGGGUGAAUAGAGGAGCUGUUCCUUGCAUUCUGAGCAGAUAGACCUCUCCUCUAGAAUACGAAUUUCCCAAUAAGGCAGCUUUUCACCUCAGAAACCCAUUUAAAGCCCCCACCUCGGGUUACAUACACUUCAGGUUACAGACUCCACUAACCCAGAAAUAGUGCUUCAGGUUAAGAACUUUGCCUCAGGAUGAGAACAGAAAUCGUGCUCUGGCAGCGCAGCGGCAGCGGGAGGCCCCAUUAGCUAAAGUGGUGCUUCAGGUUAAGAACAGUUUCAGGUUAAGAACGGACCUCCGGAACGAAUUAAGUACUUAACCCGAGGUACCACUGUACAUCCAAGCAGUGACUGUACAUGUCAACUCCUUUUGCCUCCAGGUGAGCAGCACUAAGCUGCUUGUUUUUGUUUUUCUUCAGUCAGGGUUCCUCUAACACUUUGUUUUAUGCCACCCCAAUCUCUGAUCAGUGCACUUACCCUGGAUAUCCAGGGUUGGUUUCCUUGGAAUGAGAGACAGUGGAGACUGUGGUGUCUUUAGGAUAUAUGGUUUAUUUACACAUGUAUACAACUUGAGCCAACCGUGGAGGGUGUCACAGCAUUAACACCCCAAAAGGGUAUUGUUUCUCCCAUUCUCUCAGCUGCCCAGCCUGAUUCUUGUUUCUAACUCACACACCUCAGCUCUGGUUUUGUUCUUCUAGCUACCAGACCUGGGGAGGGGAAUGGACAGACAGACACCCAUUUGUCUUCUUGCACAGAGCCACUUCCUUUGUGGCCCUAAGGACCCAUACUUAGGGGUCCAUUAACUCAUCAAGAAGUUGGCCUGGCUAUUCCUACAAUUGAAUCCUUCGCUAGAUUUUAAUCCUUGCUGGAUCCAGGAAUUGGAAGGCACUCAGGCCUACAGUUUAACCUCCUCUCCAAAAGCCUCACAACAAUAUGCAUGAUGGGCAGAGUUCAACAGGUUAAACAUUUACCCUCUGCAGGGCCCUGAUGAGAAAAGAUGACGUGAAAUUUCUGCCUGUAAAGCAACAACUGAAGGUGUAGGAGCCUAGCCUGGAAAAAAAAAAUAGGUAACAAGCAAUGCUAUUUUAUAUUAGCACAGUUACUAUGUUUACCUGUAUUUAGUAAAGAAGAUUGGUAAAGCCUCACUGCUUCUCAGCUUUGCCUGCUCAGGUGUUGCACGCCUUGGUCUAGAGGAGCAGCUCCCCAACAUUUUUGUCCUUGGACCACUUGAAAAGUGUUAGCAAUGUGUGCAAAUUUCCAAGUGUGUUCAGGAGGCAACUGUCUUGUGAUGUACCCAUCUUUGGUGCAAAUUGCUCUCCUGUUGUGCCAAGUGCCUUUCCCUCUUAAUUCCCCAUUACCAAACUUCCAAGUGUGGGAGAAUUUAUAAUAUACUGGUUGUAGUGGGUUUAUAUACUGGUGGUUGUAGUAUGCUAUCAUUGGGUAGUGAGUUAACACUAGCUUUCUCCAACUUGGUGCUCUCCAGAUGUUGUUGGACUUCUAACUCCCAUCAUUCCCAGCCAGCCAGUCAAUGCUCAGAGAUGAUAGAAGCUGUAGUCGAAAACACUGGGAAGCCUGACAUAUACCACAUUCUAUACUCAUACCAGGGUCAUACUCAUUCUAUACUCAUACCAGGGUCAGGGCAGAUAUAUAUAUAUAUAUAUAUAUAUAUAUAUAUAUAUAUAUAUCUCCCCCUCAUUGAACUCAAUGAGAGGGAGUUUCCUUAGAGGAGCUCCCCUAUUGGAGCCUAGACAGGGGCAUUUCUGUGGCCUUGGGCGGGUGUAGAAUUUGACACAAGUGUAAUUCUUGCCCUUGUCACCUCUGUCCCGCACAUAACUUCACCCUGUUUUCGCCACUCUUGUGGCAUAUCUUCGCAGGUGGAACAGCUCUGCCAGUGGAGUGUUCCAUUGGUGUAUUUUGAAUGUUCCACUAGUAUAUCUGUCAGACCAGCAGGGUAUCUCAUAUCCUGCCAGUGUAAGGGGGCUUCCACAACAUGAUUAGCCUCUCAGUCUGCAGAACCUGAGUAUAGUGUUACAUCCCUAAAUAUGAGUUUCCAAUAGGCUGCUGUAGGAUUACUCCAAAGUAAUUGGCUUGAGAAACAGUUUAAAUUUAUUUAGUGGUAAAAAGAUGUUUUUGUUGUUGCCAGAAAUGGCAAUUUCCUUUUUUUCAGAUUAUUGCUUACAGAGCUCCUAGGAGCAGCUCUUAAAAGAUCCCUGCUUUAGGAGGGCCAAGAAUAAUAUUGUGUAAGAGGCAGGGAGGAGGAGCAGAUUCCAUCUGUGUUUAUUUUGGCCAGAUUCUGUUAAGGUUCAGUAGUGAUUGAAGCUGGCCAAAGUUGAAGGUUCCAUCAGUGUCCCUCAAGGUGUGUUAAUAUAUUGCAGAUAUUGGGCCAAUGUAAGAAAUGCAAAGAAAAACAACAAAACCGAAAACCCAAACCCUUCUGUUAAAACCAAACUGAAUACUUGACUUUGCAGGUUUCAUGUUAGGUGGUGCCAGGAGGAAUGGUAGUUACUCCAAAGGGCUUUGUUGCUAAAAUUUGUGUUUGGCACGUAAACCUGAAUGACUCGUGACUGUCUUGUUAAAACUUGCUUUUAAAUAACGAAGCAUAAAAGUGUAUGUGCAGAUGUUAGAAAGUAAGAACUCUAUGUUGACUUUCUCAGUAUUAAUCACUGGUAAAAUGUUGCGUGGCAAAGCUCAAAUGUUGCUUUAAAGGAGGAGGAGAGAUACCUCUUUCUCUUUGUGUGUAGAUAAAUAGCGCACACAGAGAGAAAGUGGUAAUCUUUGUGAGGUUGAGAGAAAACCCAGCUCCUCCUCCUUAUGCAACAGUCAUGCAAAGGCAGGUUUAUUUUUCUUUUGCCAGCAUGCAGGGAGGCAAUAAGCUUCUAUUCCAAAUGGAAAAAAUGCCAUGCAUGCUUACCACUCCCAAUUCUUUCUGGAUUCUGCAAAUGCAGCAGAAGAGGGACCUAUAUAAAUCUGGCGUCUUGACUGCAGACUCAUAGAAAUCUGUAGGACUCUCCUCUUCUAUAACCUAAUUUAUUAGCAUUCAAGGUUAUGAUGGAUACUCUGCCAUUUCUCUCUUCCCUGCUUUAGCUGCUAUAUGAACACCUUACUAUUUAUUCUCACUCAGCAUGAUUUUCCAUCAAUGGUUAAUGGUGGCUGGAUCAAAGGUUUGAUACUUUAUGGAGCAUAUGGGGCAUUAUGGAACUAUCUUACCCAUAGACAGUGGCUUAAACUGUGCUUUGCAUGAAAUCUAUUGGGAAUCUGGAAAGGGAGUGCAUGAGAACAGUGGGUCCAACAAUGAGGCAAACAAAUUGAUGCAUUCUUCAGCAUCCCACAGCAGUGGGACUCCCAGAUGUGAAGAGAAAGCCAAGUACCUUAAUUAUCAUCAAAGCUGUGUUUGGUAUAUAUUGUUCCAUGCCACCACAAUCUCUGAGUGGUGUGAUUCCAGGGGUCUUGGCACUCACACAGGAUUUGUAUUUCCUUUGGAAAUUAGGCACAAUGGAGACUGCAGUGUCUUUAUGAUAUAUUGUUUAUUUUUACAUACUGUAUAUACAACCUGAGUCUACAGUAGAGGGUUUUCCAAUAUUCACAUGAGGGGGGGCUUGCUUCCUACAGAAGCAUAGUGUUGGAUUCAAAGGCAGCCAAACAGCCAUCUCUGUCUCUUCUCCCAUCUUGUACCAGCCCGCUCGCCAAGAGCUCUCGCUCACUUCUCCCCUGCUUUUCAAACCUCCUGCAAAAACAAUUUUUCUUCAGCCUCCAUCAUCCAGGAUGAAACCCUAUUUUUUUUCUUUCUCUGCCCACUAGCACAAACAGUUGAAGGAGGGCCCCAUUCCCUAUAUCACAGUCUUCUCCCCAUUGAUAGCUCCCCCCAUGGGCUGAUGACGGGCUGUCAUUAGCCUUCAUUCCAUUUAAUAGCUCCUCUCCCAGGUAAUACCUUUUUCUGGUAAAAACAGGGUUAGCCUGCAUUUUUACACUUCUAAAUGCAACAUUUAUCAACCCAUCUUAAUUCUCAAAGCACUGAUUACUGUAAACCCCAAACACCCCAGAAUCUAGUGGGAGUCAGGGCACCCACAAGCCCAUAACAAUAUACAUCAAGUGCAUUGCAUUAUCAAUUGUAAUACAAUAUUUGAUUAGCAGUCUAUUGAGCUCAAGAACAAUAUUAUUUACCUCCUAAGAUUUAUUUUAUUCAUCUGGUGAGUCAUCAAAGCUAACCACAACUGGCAAUGAGAUUUUAGUUGUUGACAGAAGCAAAAGUAUUGUCAAUGAGAUUGGAAGUUUUCUUGAUCUGAGAAAUCAAUCCUAAAACUUAUACUUAUGUGUUUAGCUUUGAUAGUAAUAUUGCUAAUGACUGUGAGACUAUUUUUCUGCAUGUGUGAAAUCUCUCAAGAAAUGCAUUCCAUUGGUGCAAUUGAACAAAUAACUAAUAUCAGCUUAUAUAUGAGUACAGAAAACAGAAACUGGAGAGAGAGAUAUGAUGGAUAUGUUUAUUUUUAACUUGGAUGUAUAGAGAUGCCAAGAAUAUUGAAAGGUAAAAUAUGAAAGCCUAGGGCAAAGACAAAUAGUGCUCUAAGAUCCAAGUAUUCACCCCAGAUUGGAAUUCUGCUGAGGGCACUUGAGGCAAUAGUGUGAGAGAACUAAUUAGACCUCUGACUUUAAUUUCAAACAGAUAUACCCUCCACCUCUCAGUGUAAAAACCAGGCCAUCUGAAGCUGAAAUAAAAUGAAACCAGAACAAAUCUUUUUAGUACAAGUGCUGAAAUAGCUAGCCAUAGCCAAAUUUCUCAAGUCUUGCAAGAGAUGGACUCCUCCUGGGGUUUUAUAAGAAAUGAAUGUAGUCAAGGUCAGUCUUACUUUUAGGCAGAAUGAGGUAGCUGCCUCACACAGGAGUUGCUGAGGGGUGCAGAAUGGACAGACCUGUGUGUGCUGUAUGACCAGACCUCCACCCCCCAAACUAACCUGUUGCCCCCAGAAGAUGCUCACUGUCUCAUUGCAAUGUUGAAACAAAACUCAAUUGCUAGUCUGGUUGGCUAGUGUACAUGGCAUGGGGAUAUGUACCAUCUUGUCCUUAGGUGGAAAAAUAUAUUGGGCCAACCCUUUCUGCAGUGUUUAUAAAGUCCAAAGGUGAAACCUGAUAAGAGCUACAAUGAAACAGAUAACUAGACUCCUGGAAGAGCCUGACAAUGGAGUAAGGAAACAUGGGGAAUGGAGAUUUUGUAACCAACAAAAAUAUUUCUAAACCUUGCCAAAGACAAUUCACUUGGUAGAAAGUUAGCAGGGUUCCUAGCACUGGUUACCCAAUGUUUGGCAGAAAAUGUAUGGUGGAGUGUUUGCUUAGUGCACUGAGAUCUUAGCUAUUAGGAAAAGGCUUGUUCCUUUGAGGCAAAAGUAAAUAACCUGGAUACACUGAGAGAGGUAGUUGGUGAGACUUUCAGGGACUUGACAGAGAAGUCCCGUUAUUGCUACUGUAGACAAUUAGAAGCAAGGAGAGAUGGGGGUGUUGUGAAUGUUAACACGGCAGACAUCACACACUAUAUUGGUAAAAGCCAAUAGCGCAGUUGAUGGAUGGGGGAGAUCAGUAAUUCUAGUACAUGUUAGUGUCAAUUCAUUGGGAAAUACAGUGGUACCUCGGGUUAAGAACAUAAUUCGUUCUGGAGGUCUGUUCUUAACCUGAAACCGUUCUUAACAUGAGGUACCACUUUAGCUAACGGGGCCUCCCGCUGCCACCGUGCUGCUGCUGCUCGAUUUCUGUUCUCAUCCUGAAGCAAAGUUCUUAACCCGAGGUACUAUUUCUGGGUUAGCGGAGUCUGUAACCUGAAGCGUCUGUAACCUGAAGUGUAUGUAACCCGAGGUACCACUGUAUAGUUAUCUAGUCCUGGAAGUCAAAGCUGUUACUCACAUUUAAUUUCACAAGUAAUAUUUUAAAGUGCAUUCUUGCUUGAAUGAGCAAUAUCUAUAUAUUUAGAGCACAAACCUGGCAAACAGAAUUGGGAGACUCAAGCUGAUUGUGCCUAAGAAUAUCUCUGAGGAAUUGUAUUCAAAAUAUAGUGGGUUCAGUUAAUGGAUUUCUGUACAGCUAGAGGAUUAUUCCUUUCUUUUUGUGCAUUUGGUAUAUACCUCUUCAUUUUUGGGGUAAGUGGGUACCUUGGAAGUAAGCAUUACUAAAGGUAGAGUUGUUCAAGACAGAAAAGGCCUUGCUGAGAACAAAUCAGUGUGGUUCCUGUAAACUUACAACCAACCUUACAGAACUGAAAGUAGAAAUAAUUAUAUACUUGGAUUUCCAAACAGCUGCUGGCAAAGCCUUCAAACAGGCUUGGGAGCCAAAUGCACCCCUCCUAGCCUCUCUGUCUGGCCCUAGGAACACUCCCUGGGCUUAGGAACUCUCUGCAGGCAACACCACUGCUUCACACCCCAAGUGUUUUUGCAUGGUUGGGAUGUGUCUGUGAACUUGGAAAAGGCCUCUGGCUUAUCGGGAUGGAUAAGCCAGGGUGGAAAAAGGUAAAAAUCACACUGAUUGCUAUCCCCAUUUUUGCUUUCGUCCCCACCCACCACUGGGAUGUGGCCCCCAGAAGCUUGCCAAGAGGCGAAUGUGGCCUUGGGCAGAAAAAGGCUCCCCAAACCUGAUUUAGAAUAUUGUGUGUGGUUUACAUUGCCUUCCCUCAAAAAGGAAAUUGUAGCUUUAGGAAGGUGCAGAAAGAGGCAAACCAAGAGAUUAAGCAAUUGAAGCAACUCUCAUAUAAGGAAAGAUUACAAUAUGUGGAUCUGGGUCUCUUUAGUUUAGAAAAGAGGCAAGUGAAGAAGGAUAUGACAGAGGCUUAUACCAUUGCAAGUGUUAUUGAAAGAGUGAAGCUAGUUCUCAGGAAAAAAUAAAAUGAGUUAUCCGGUGAAACUGAUUGGUAGACAGUUCAGAACAGACAAAAGGUCAGAUUCAGCAAAGCUCUUAGAAAACCUUAGGAAAAUAGGUUCAAAUGUCUUCCCAGGAAUGACUUUAUGUUGGUGUAUGUGCACUAACCAAAUGUAGUCCAUCCGGGAAUCAUACAUGAGAUAGACAUUUGCUGUUGCCCAAAGAGGUAUUAAUUUAUCUGCUCCAGGCAUGCCAGGGGAACUGCUCUUCUGAAAGUGCCUACUGCCCAUUAUAUUUGGUGCUUUAUAGAAAUAAUUCUCAAACUUGUGAGAUGUCCGCCUUUUGGGGAGGGGCGAGAAGUGGAAGGAGGAUCAAAGUUUCAGAGGAGAUGGGACCCUGGGGUAUGCCAUGGAUCUUUCCCUACUAACCAAGACCCAGGUAGACUGAUCACCUUCUGACAGUGAACAUCCUAUUGGAUUUGUGUACAUGAUCCCAUCCUUGUUGUUGUUUAGUCGUUUAGUCAUGUCCGACUCUUCGUGACCCCAUGGACCAGAGCACGCCUUACUUCUCCUUGACUCCAAAUGUGAUUUGGGAAGAAGCAAGUUUAGGACAAUCUGCUGUGCUCUUAAUCUUUCCUGGAGUGUAUCUGUAAAAGAGGUAAAAGAGGUUCAGAGAUAUUCUGCAGUUAUGCAUAUAUCAGAUUAUUGCCCUGAUUCUCAUGGCAUUGGAUGCAGCUGAUGGUUGCGUGCAUGUAGCUAUAUACACAUAACUACAUACAAGGAUCUAUGGAUAUUCACCCAUGCAACAGAUAAUAGUGCUGAGGAACUAGAAAGCAUUGAAAGUUUUGAAGUGAGCCGAGUUAAAAAUAAUACUUGAGAAACACUGCAUAGAUUCACCCAACAGACAGGAAUUAUUUUGGCAAAGACAGAUUUCCAGAGAAACAAGAGGUAGAACAGGCCUGAAAUUCUGGCUAAGAAUUGCAUACUUUUCUUUUAAAAGCCUGCAAACCAUAAAAUUAUCUUAGCUUUUGGGAAAGCCAAUCUACCAAGCACUUACACGUCCCUGGAAAUUCUUUCUUGUGGCAUUUCUUUGUUUACACUGCCCUCUUACGGUUUCUGGUAAAAUAGCAGCUGUAUCUAAAUUUGUAAAUAUUUUAUUGCGGUUCCUUACAUUAUUAUUUUUCUCUCCUUGGUCCUUGUCUUGGAAAACCAUGUGUCAUUAUUGUAUUGUUCCUUGUGCUGGACAAGGAUCUGGGGACCAGGGUUCAAAUGCCCAGUCGGCCAUGAAGCUCACUGGGUGAUCUUGGGCCAGUCACUCUCUCUCAGACUAACCUACCUCACAGGGUUGUCCUAAGGUUAAAAAGGGAGGUUGGGAGGGGGAGGUGUGCAUGCCACCUUGAUCUCUCUGGAGAAAAGGUGGAAUUAUAAAUGUAAUAAUAAAUAAAUAUUUUCGAUCAGUCUGGUUCUUGACUGAUCUACUCUCUCAAGAAGAUGAGGACCACUGAAAAAAUACAUUUAAGAAGAACCCUGCUGGAUCAGGCCAAGGGCCCAUCUGGUCCAGCAUCCGAUUCUCCCAGCAGCCAGCUAGGUGAGCUUGUGAGCAGGUCCUGAGUGCAAUGACACUCUCCCCAUUUCUGCCCCCAGCAAUUGGCAUUCAGUCGCAUUACUGCCUCCAACAGUGAAGGAAGAACAUAGCUGUGGUGGGGAGUUGCCACUGAUAGCUGCUUCUUCCAUGAAGUUUUCUGAUCAUCUUUUAAAGCCAUCUGAUUUGGCUGCUAUCACUACAUCUUGUGGGACCAAAUUCAAUGGUUUGGGUAUGUGCUGUGUGAAGAAGUGCUUUCUUUUGUCUGUCCGGAAUAUUCCAGCAUUCAGCUUCAGUGGAUGGUCCUGAAUUUCUAGUAUUGUAAGAAAGGGCGAAAAAGUCCCUGUCCACUUUCUCACACCAUCUUAUCUCCCUUUACUCAACUUUUUUUUCAAAACUGAAAAGCCCCUUCAGCUUUGUUUGUGCAAUGGGGCUUCUUCCCUCCACAUGUGCCCCAUGCAACCCCCAAAGUUGGCUCUUAGGGGGGUUGGGAGAACCUCCACAACGGUGCAUGCAGGGAGGAGAGGGGAGAUCACUCCUUUGGAACUAUCCCCUUAGUGUGAUGUUGAAUUCCUCCUCCUAUUAUUAUUGUGCAAAUAUUAUGUACAUGUGUGGCAUGGGUUUGUGCCCCCAAAUACCCCUGCUCCCAGUUUGUUGUACGGAUAAAAUGGUGCAUGUACAUCACUUCUAGCCGCUUGGAGGAAAGGCAAGAUCUAGACAUAUUCAAUGUGGUUUUUCUUUUUGGCUGUAGGCUAAUGAAAUCAUACUUCUUGUGAAUCCAUGAAGCAUCUUGUGAUUAAGUCCUGAGAGGUGCUGCAUAGGGUCUACAAACAAGAGUAGAGAUCUUUUGCUGUUAAGCACUCAGCAUCAGAGGCAUAGCUGGGGAGGGACUGGGGGUGGGGUGUACUGGGUGCCACACUGCGGGGGUUGGUACUUAACGCCUGGGAGUGACACGGUGGCUUGGGCACCUGCAGGCUCUGCACUGCCCAAAAUGGCAGUGUGGGGUUUGCAUCUGUCUACUGCCUCCCCCUCAGCCGCCCUAUAGCUGAGGGGGAGGCAGCAGGCAGACUCCUUGGAGGCUCCUCACAGCAUGCCCUGCCCCAGCUCACCCCGCCCCCAUGGGCUACUCGCCCUGCCCCUGGGAGUUUCUGAAGUAAUGUAUAGCUGAUUUUAUGGCGGGGGAGAGGAAAGGAUAGAUAGAUAGGUGCUAGCAGUCAGAAUUUGUUCUCUUACUUGAAUAAUACUGAUAUUAUUAGAAACAAAAUAUGAUGCCUUUUCUUUUCAUACUGAUGGAUGUACAUGUAAACCUGUGGUCCCUACAGUAGGUGUCUAAUGGAGCAGCUAGCAGUGUGGCUUGUACAAUCUGGUCUUUGUAGAACACAUCAUGUGUGUCCAUCUGACACGGCAGCUUAGAUUGCUUGGGAAUUAUACUGGAGAGUUCAGCAUAUCCAGGAGGAGACACAGAAACUCUCACAGAACUGGUAAAUUUGGUGGUUACUUUCCAUAUGUACUCUGCCAAAGACAAAAUGGUAGAGAAGCUAAUUGAACAAAACAAACUAAUCGUUUGGCAAUCUAUGUGAUAAUUGACAAGGUUCUUAUGGACACGAUGCUUGCUAGGGGGUGGCAAGUAGAAAGAAAUGUUGAGUGUAUUAGGAACUGUCUGGGAAGACUAACUUCUAAACAGUGACGGCAGUAUUCUUCAUCUGAGGAACUUGGUUUCUUUUUUCGCUCCAUCUGUUUUCUGCUUCCUAAUGUGCUGCUGGCAUGACAACUUUUCCACUGUCUAUUCACUGCUUCUUUCCCAUGACAAGCCAUGGGAAUCUCUCCUGAGUGCAGGAGUCAGUGUGGGAUUGUAUCUCAGUUUGAUUCAUCCCUUCUGGAUGCCGUAUAUGUUGUCAGCUCUUUGGCAGUAGUCUUUCUGUGUUGAGAGAAUAAGAACAAAGCAACUCUCCUCAAGGCUUCAGCGGUUACUUAAUUUUGAGAGGCAUGACCGCACACACGUAGCUUUUAAACUGCAGAAGCUAUGGACUCUUACCAUCGGGUCCUUGGGGGUGCAAUGCACAGGGCUUUGUCCAUUGUACCUGGCUUCACAAAUUCCACAAAUCAGCUGACUGGCAGAGUUUGUGAAGCUGCGUACAUAAGGCCCCCAUAACAGUUCAAGCUUCCGCGCCACCAAAAUGUAGGUCUGCCACCGGCUGCAGCCCAGCCCAGUUUCAGCUAUCAGACCAAUCCUCUCCUGCCCCUUUCACCUUGCCUAGCCUUGCCAAAGCCCAGCAGUCCUUGUUCUAAGGUGCAGCAGGCCCCAAAGCUAGGCAGGCAAGCAAGCAAGCAGUCCCACCUCCUCUUCUUCCUCUUUUUUUCCAUCCUAUCCUCCUUUCUUGUCACUUAUACAGCCACUGCUGCCCCCUUCCUCUUACUUCUCCACCUCUGCUUGCCAAAAUGCCCAGGGAGCAGCUACAGUGAGAUCAGGCACUCCAUUUCUACAAAUACCAUUGGGGUGCCCAGCAUGCAAUGGGAGAAGGGCCCAGAUAAGCCACUCCACCUUUUAACUUGCUGGCUACCACUGUCUCCUACCUAGGACACACUGCACGAGGCAGGGCCAACAGGUGGGCAGAGCAAACCAAGAGGGUGGCCUGCUUACAGAGACUUCCCCAUACCCAGGUCUCCCACUUUGCUUUGCAGUUCGUAGGCUAUGUGGGUGGAAGUGCUUGGGCAGAUUAGGGAUGUCGUCAGCUGUAUACAUCCAAGAAGCUAGAAGUGUGUUAGUGUGUUGGAGAUCUUUAAUCUGCCUUGAUUUCCUGCUUUUCAUGGUCUUGUGUUAUCAUUAGUAUCAUCUUACAAUACAAUAUCCUGGCUACUAAAGUGAUUUUUUAAAUGCCUGUACUUUAAUUUUAAAGUAACAGGACAGUAUAAAGAAAAAGGACAACUCCUUAAUUAUUUUCAAAGUAUUGUAUUCACCCAAACACCAACCUAUUUGAAGCCUUUUAAAAAUUGCCUUUAGGGUGAGGGGGCAACACUGCUAACUUUUGCUCCCUACGGCACUGCCCCCCCCAUUUGCUAGCACCGCCAUUAGAAGUAUGUGUAACAUGGCUCUGCAGCCUUAGUAACCUUCUCCCUCACAGUAUCCGAGAAACUUUUAAAAAUCCUUAAUUUAUAAAUUAUAUGCUUAUAAAUUCCCUUUAGUACUUUCCAGAAUAGUACCACAAAGUCUGGGAGGGGAAAUGUACCUACACCAUUUCCUGCAGCAAAGCUUUGCCAUUUUAGAAGAGUUUCUACUUUAACAUAUGUAACUUAGCAUAUAGGCAUCUGGCUGGCCACCGUGUUAACAGGUUGCUGGAUUAGACCUGAUCCAGCAGGCCCAUCUUAUGUUCUUAGCUAUAAGCUAUGGUGAUAGGCAGUGGCUUAGAUGGCUUUAAAAGAGAACAGGUAAAUUCAAGAAGGAUAAGGCUAUCAAUGUCUGUUGGUCAUAACUGCUAAACAGUACCUCCAUGUUCAGGGUACCAGAUACUGAGGACAAAUGGAGUAUGGUUAUCCACCACAUACCCUAUCACGGAUGGAAGCAAAGUACUAAGCUACAGUGACCUUUGGCUCAAUCCUGCCAGGAAGACAGGACUAUGAUCAGAGAAGGGAGAGGGGAGUCUGAAAGGAAUGGCUAGAUAACACUUUGUGCACUACCACAAGUGACCGCAUGAUGUCACCAGGUGCCAAGGUACUCCUGAUGUUUGCAAGGAGCACGUCAAUUCAACUCUGAAUAAUUCUUAAGCAGCUGGCCCAACAAAAAACUCCUACCGAAAAUCAGAACAAUUUUGUUUGGCAGGAAAUGAACCUUGCUAGUUAGCAACAAUAGAUUUCUCUUUAAAGACAGUGUUUUUCAUCAGAUUAAUUUUGAAGCCUUCAUUUUGUUUAUAAUCUUUCUCUCCCUUUGUCAUUUGAGGUGUCUGGUGUGUUGUUGUUUUACAGUGAGUAGGACGCCAUGCUCAGCAUUCCUCCUUUCUUAUAAACCUUAAUACAAGAUUUCAAUGUGGGUUGCUGAGAUGUGUUUGUAGAGUUUUCUGACACAGGUGCCAAAUUAAAUUGGCUCACCCUAGCUGGUGUAUGUAGCUUGUCUUGGGCAGGGAUGUGCGUGUGUGUAUGGUGUUGGUGUAUUGGGCCUGCCCUGCCGCCACUGCUAUAUACACACACAGACCUGCCUAUUGCAGAUUAAACUUUGCCCCGUUCACUCAUUGCUGCUUUAUGCCCACCAGCUCAAUGUAUGCUUUGCUGCCAAGCCACCUGUUGCAAUGUUAUGGUGUAGCACAGUACUCGGCUUAUGCUUGUUAGGUUGAUGACUUAUGCAUCACUAAAGAAGAGGAACUACAUAACCAAAAGAAAACAAGGACACAGAUCUCAAUAAAGUUUUCAUUAUCUUACCGUAAUUUAAAUAGAAAUACAUCUCAUUCACCAUAGUGGGUAAGACAGUAUUCAGUUGACCUGUGUGCCUGCUCAGUCUGCUGCCAGCUGUUGCCUGUUGACAAACAGCUUGAAGGUUCCACCUGCUUUCGCUUUUUUGGGUUCUCUGUAUCUUUAAACUGGACUUGGAUUGGUAGUGCUUCACAGAGAGGAAUCUUUCCGUCAGAAGACUGCCCUCUGACAGCCCUUCAAAUAGAGGUUUGUCCUCUGUAAAGGAGGGCACAUGGGAACCCAGAUGGGGGGGGGGCGGGAAUAACUGGAGAUGCUUGGGCACUUUUGAUUUACAAUGAAGGCCAGAAGGUAAAAUAUAUAUUUUAAAUAAGAGCAAAAUCUCUUAAAAGAUACAGAAGAAAACAAUUAUCCAAAAAUGUAUAUAGUGAUACCUCUGGUUAUGUACUUAAUUCGUUCUGGAGGUCCGUUCUUAACCUGAAACUGUUCUUAACCUGAAGCACCACUUUAGCUAAUGGGGCCUCCUGCUGCCGCUGCAUGAUUUCUGUUCUCAUCCUGAAGCAAAGUUCUUAAAGUCCUGUAUACCUGAAGGAGCGUCUCCACCCCCCAUCGUUCAGCCUGGACACUGAGAUCCAGCGCCGAGGGCCUUCUGGCAGUUCCCUCAUUGCGAGAAGUCAGGUUACAGGGAACCAGACAGAGGGCCUUUUCAGUAGUGGCGCCCACCCUGUGGAAUGCCCUCCCUUCAGAUGUGAAGGAAAUAAGCAGCUAUCUUCUCUUUAAAAGACAUCUGAAGGCAGCCCUGUUUAGGGAAGUUUUUAAAUAUUUAAUGCUGUAUUGUUUUUAACACUCGAUUGGGAGCCACCCAGGUGGCUGGGGAAACUCAGCCAGAUGGGCAGUGUAUAAAUAAAUUAUUAUUAUUAUUAUUAUUAUUAUUAUUAUUAUUAUUAUUAUGUAACCCGAGGUACCACUGUAUAGAUACACCUGAGUUCUUUAAAAAACAACAACUUGUCACAGCAGUUUUCUGAAGGCCUAAAUGUAGGGAGGACUGCAUGGCCUCUUAUGAAUCUGAGACUUUGGUUGAAGCAAGUUGCCUUGAGCAAUAUAGUCCACAGAGUAGACACUCUACCUGUAAAGCUUUGGGUUGCCCACCACAGAUUUUACCACUGCUUUGGACUUUGUGCAGUUCAUCACUGAAGGACGUGAAGGCUUAUAUGUAUUUUUCCCCCUCCCAUAAUUUUUUAAUUUGAUUUUUAUACACUUUAACCUAUUCAAACAUUAAAUUACAGGGUUCUCUUUGGACUCCCUCCCAUAACUCCAAUGGGUUCUUAUAUUAAAAGUUUAAGUUUUCUGCAUCUUUUGCUUUAUCCAACUAUUGUAUAUCCCUAAUUAUCAUAAUCAAUUUCACAUUACAAAUGUCAUUACAACGCUACCAAUUAUUUUAACUGUUUACAGUGGUUUUUUAAAGUAAACUACAAAUUUACUCCAGUUUCUAACAAAUACUUGAUCUUCUUGGUUUCUGAUCUUGCCUGUCAGUUUCACCAUUUCCACAUGUUCCAUCAAUUUCUUCUGCCAAUCUUCCUUCAUUGGUCGUUCUUCUUCUUGAAGGUUCAUAUGUAAGCCAGGUGUAACGCAUUUAGGCCUGAUGAUGACUUAUUAGCUGAUUCUGAAAAUGCUUUGGCUAUUUUUAUUUUUACUGUGGAGACUCACGGAAUUUUGCCUGUUUUUGAGACUUAACUAUCACUUCCACACUUCCAUUUGCUUUCCCCUGGGAAAAACCGCUCUUUGCUGCUGAAUUGGAACUCUGAGAAUCACAGAGACCCAGAAUGUGGCUCAGCGUAAGCCCUUUUCCUCUUCUCCCUCUAUUCCUAGCAGCAGUAAUUCUUCCAAAUACCUGCUGCUGGAAACCACAGAAGAGGAGAGCGCUGUUGCACUCUGGUUCUGAUUGCAGGCUUCCCACAGGCAUCUGGUUGGCCACUGUGAGAACAGGAUGCUGGACUAAAUGGGCCACUGGCCUGCUCCAGCAGCAGGCUAUUAUGUUCAGGCAUUCAUCUGAACAUGUGAGGUUUAAAACAGGAACAGGGGAAUGUAUGCAAGCCCUGCCCCCAAGGUCCUAUGUUUAGGACAUCCUUUCAUACUUGCGCUCUUUGAACACGACGGUCUCGAGGGGGCUUUUACAUUUGUUGUACAAAAUGUUCUUAGAACUGCAGUAGAGAGCAGGUCAGAUCCAAUAGCGAUGCAGACAGAGCGACAGAAGUGUUGGUGAAGCUACAAGAUCAUAAUAAUUUUGGCUGUAAGUCCUGGAAGACCUGCUCCUUCUGCCCUGCAGGCCUUUUUUCCACUUGGCCAGAAAGGCGGGGUCCUGACUGAUGCAAGCUACAAAACUGAGGCUGCUGAACAGACUAUUGGGCUAGGGCGGCUGUUACGUAGGGCGGGGGAGGUAUCUUUUUGUAUCUUUAUUUUAGAUCUUGUGAUUUAUGUGGACAUUAUUCAGUUUAUUUUUUAUGUUUAAUUAUUGUUUAUGACUGCAUUUAUUAUGUUGCAGUUGUGUGUAUUUCAUGUUGCAACCUGCCUUGAGCAUGGUUUGAACUGUGGAAAGGCAGCAUACAAAUAAAAUUAUGUAUGUAUGUAUACUUUUGCUGGCUGUUUUGCUGUAUUGUAGGAAAUGUAUUCAAGCCAGUGCUGUUUAUACUUUACAGGGACUUCUGGCAGUGUUUUGGAUCAGGGAUGUGGAACAUUUUUCCACCCUAAAGGCUCACAUUUCCUUGGGAGAAAUCUUCCAGGGCCUACAGGUUAGUGAUGGGCAAGACCAGAGGCAAAAAUGGGGACGCAAUAGAUGUGACUCUUACUUUUCUAUAGUAAGCUGCAUUCCAGUCAUGCAAAGAGGUUCCUUUGCAGCCACUCACAUGCCUACAUAUCUCCAGCCUCCAUCCAGGCAAGAAAGACACAUUAAUACAGUUCAAGAAUACAUUCCAGCCUGGCAAAAGCAGUAAGCAGGGCGUGGAACAGGGCAAGUGGAUGAUAUGGCCUGGGCAGAGUCCUGGGGGCCAAAUAGAAAGGCUUCGGGGCACAUUUGGCUCCUUGUUCUCAGGUUCUCCAUUCCUGUUUUAAACAGACUUCAGAAAAGAAACUGAAAUGGAGAAGGGGAAUGGUGGCAUGGGUAAAAUGGAAGUACAAAGAAUGGAUGCCAAACAUGGCAGGAGGACAGUGGAUAAGCAAACACAAGGGAGGGAAGGAGGGAGAUUGUGCUGUCAAGGCCAGAAGCAAUCUGAAAUACUCACUGCUCAUCUUGGAUUAGUUGACCUCCACAUCACACUGAUGCCCUUUGCCUUGUUGUUGUUGUUUAGUCGUUUAGUCAUGUCCGACUCUUCGUGACCCCAUGGACCAGAGCACGCCAGGCACUCCUGUCUUCCACUGCCUCCCGCAGUAUGGUCAAACUCAUGCUGGUAGCUUCGAGAACACUGUCCAGCCAUCUUGUCCUCUGUCGUCCCCUUCUCCUUGUGCCCUCAAUCUUUCCCAACAUCAGGGUCUUUUCCAGGGAGUGGCCAUGAGGUAGCCAAAGUAUUGGAGCCUCAGCUUCACGAUCUGUCCUUCCAGUGAGCACUCAGGACUGAUUUCCUUAAGAAUGGAUAGGUUUGAUCUUCUUGCAGUCCAUGGGACUCUCAAGAGUCUUCUCCAGCACCAUAAUUGGCCAUUUCAAAUCCCUGUUUUAAGCCAUGGGGGUAUUACUACAAACAACUGCAUGUAAAAUCCAGCUGCCCUAAUAACAUAGUAAAGAGUAGCAUUUGAGGUUCCAGGGGAAUUUUUUCCACGUAAACUUUUUUUUUGGGGGGGGGAAUUGGUAUCAUUUGUUCACUUGUCACUAUUUGUCCCCAGUCUUUGAGACAAAUUACAUAUUUUUGUUAAAAGACCAGCAAUUUCACAACUGAGUUAUUUACCAACUCACAGACAGAUACCACAGAUACCACCUAGUUUCUGUGAUCUGCUCAUUUUCUGCUAAAAUGGUGCUUCAGGUUAAGAACAGUUUCAGGUUAAGUACGGACCUCCGGAACGAAUUAAGUACUUAACCCGAGGUACCACUGUAUUUAAGUACAAAAAUUACAUUUCCGAAUAACAUCACUUCACUCGUGGCGUAAUUGGACUUGUGGGGGAAUGGAUUUCUAAUUACUGUUGCAUUUUGAAUCUUAGAAAACUUCUAGUGCUCUACAGUAUGCUAAUGUAGCCUCAUACAACCAUCAUGAUAUUCCUUUCCCACCUAAUGGAUGGCCUUGUGGCAAUCUCGUUGCAAGGGAAUUAGCUCUUCAGCGCUUUUUGUUUUCAGUGAAAUCAGGGCAGUAGUGUGCUGCAGUAUCAGAAAGAUACAUUUUUGGCAUCCGGAUAACUAAAUGCAAUGGGCAGUAUCCAGCCAAACACUUUCACUAGUGCAAGCACAGCAGAAAUCCCCCCCCCCCACUUUUAGAUCUGUUGUGGAGUUUUCCCCAACCCUCUACAGCAGAUUUAGAGGGCACAGGGUUGAGAGGGGAGGGAGGGGAAGUUCGGUUGCAUAGCCAAAAGUGCUUGCACCAGUGGAAUGGCUGAGUUGGCUACCUCCCAAAAUAUUUAAAAAUCAAAAACUGAAAUAGCAGGGCCUUGCCCCAGGGAGUGGCAUUCACCACUUCUCUAAAAGGGUGAGAUGAGCACAUUAGAAUGCUAUAGUAAGAGAACACAGCACUCAAAGAUCACAAAACGAUGCAAGCAUGAGGGGGAAUUUGUGUCACUUAUCAUUAGGCACUGUCCAGGGGCCUGAGCCCUGGGUUUUUUGCACCAGGUCCUGGAUCUGUUGCCCCUCCCACUUUAAAACAAACAAACAAAUAAACAAACAAACAAACAAGCGGACUUUGCUUACAGGGCAACUGAGCAUGCCACAAAGUGCAGUGUUGGUAAGAUGCCAACCAUCUGUUACCUUUAUUUGUUCGAAGGCAGUGCAGCAACUGGGGAGGGGCUUGUGAUAGAGAAGCUUGUUGAGUGACCAUGAAGCUUACUGUGUGAUGGUGGGCUAGUCACUUCCUUGCAGCCUAACCUACUAUCUUAGGGUUGUUGUAAGGGGAGAGACUCCAUCAGGCAAGGCCUUCUUCCACCUGCCUUGCCCCACCUCUUGGCCCUGGGAUUCUUCAUAAGGAAGCUGUGCCUGGAGGAAAAAUUGUGAGGGGAGAGACUUCAUCAGGCAAGGCCUCUUUCCACCUGCCUUGCUCCACCCUCCAGUCUCUGCUUCUCAUUUUGUAUUGUAUUAUGUUGUGCACUGUGGUUUGCUGUUGUUUUAUUGAUUGGAGUUUAGAAAUUACUUGUAACUCUUGAGUGGAUUUCUGUUUAAUUUUGAAAUGCUGAUAUUUAAUAUUAUUCUAUAUUAUUUUCUAUAUUAUUUUCUAUAUUAUUAUAUAAUAUUUUAUAUAAUAUUUAUAUAAUAGUUAUAUUAUAUAAAUAUUUAUAUAAUAUUUUCUAUAUUAUUAUAUGGGACGCGGGUGGUGCAUGGGACGCGGGUGGCGCUGUGGGUUAAACCACAGAGCCUAGUGCUUGCCAAUCAGAAGGGGUGAGCUCACCGCAAUGGGGUGAGCUCCUGUUGUUCGGUCCCUGCUCUUGCCAACCUAGCAGUUCAAAAGCAUGUCAAAGUGCAAGUAGAUAAAUAGGUACCGCUCUGGCGGGAAGAUAAACGGCGUUUCCGUGCGCUGCUCUGGUUCGCCAGAAGCGGCUUAGUCAUGCUGGCCACAUGACCCGGAAGCUGUACGGCGGCUCCCUCGGCCAAUAAAGCGAGAUGAGCGCCGCAACCCCAGAGUCAGCCACGAGUGGACCUAAUGGUCAGGGGUCCCUUUACCUUUACUAUAUAUUAUUUUAAUGAAUGUUGAAUAUUAUUUUAUUUGCAUAUUGUAUAUUGUAUUAUGCAUAUUGUCUUAUUUAUAUGAUGUUAGCCGCUCUGAGCCUGGCAUUGGCUGGGGAGGGUGGGAUACAAAUAAAAUUUAUGAUGAUGAUGGUGAUGGUGAUGAUGAUGAUGGAUAAAAUAUGUACAGUGGGAAGCCACAACCACUGCUCAGAACUCAUUGAGGAAUAGAGUCCAAUCUGCAGGCAAAGUACUGGGCCUAGAAAAUCCUGUUGGCACCCUAUAGCUCAAAGCCUUGACAGCAAGAGCUAAUGUUUGUUUGUUUUCCUUCUGAAAGUGAACCUAAACUUGCAUAUAUACAAAUGUAUACAUAUAAAUGCAUACAUAUAAAUCAGCAUAUUUUAUGCAACCGUGUCCCAAAUCCUUUUCAGUAGUUAGCAACACGCCUGCCUGUGACACUUACACAAUCAUAUUCUGCACAGUAUUAGCAGUAAAAUAACAAUGGGCGUACUACUUGGAGAAGAACCACAAUUUUCCUGUGAAUGAAUAACUGUGGUUUGAUGCUGAGAAAGCGUCUCUUCAAUGGAAACACUUCUUUAGGAAUCUUGCUUGCAAAACAAAUGAGUGAAAACUGCACAGUUACUGUGGAAAAGAAAAAGAAAAUGUCUUAAAAUAUCUUUACAAGAAGAAGCACAAAACAACAUUGGUCUGAUGGGGCAAACUGAGGCUGAGUAACAGCUUGAAGAGAUAGUGGAGAUCAUCAAAUGCCACAGGGCCACUAUAUCUUUAAAACCUCACACUGCAGACAUAUCCCAGUCUCAUCCUGAUCACCAGGAAUAGGAGAGUAGAUAAGAAACAGCAGAGGCCUCUUUAAAGAAUUGAGGGUGGGGGUGCAUUUGAUAGAGCCUCUCAAAAUCUUUAGGGGAGUGAGACAUGUUUUAAGAUUGUGAAAUCCUGCCUUCGGCUAUAGUUCCAGUUUAAGCAGGUAAGUGGUAGGGAGCCUGGGUUACCAGCAGCCAACAGAUUGUUGACUGGAGUCAGCAUUUCCACUAUCUCUUUUGCCCAAGGCAAAAAGAUAGUGAUGAUGGAGAGGGGCUGCAGGAUUUUGCUCUAAAUGUAUUCAGGGGUUUCUUUCUAACCCAAGAGCAGCGUUGUAACAUUUGAAAAAUGCGAAUGGCAGUGGAUAUCAAGUUCUGAUUGGCACAUUAGUCCAGGAGGUGCAGAUCAACUUGGUUCAUACUGGAAUUCACAAACUGAAUUCCUCAAGCAACAGCUCCCCUAGCUAGACUACUGCAGUGUACUGUGUGUGGGGAUGACUUUGGAGACUGUUUGGGAACUACAGCUAUGGCAAAACACUGUCACUAGAUUGCUAGCUGACGCCAGAUUAAUAAAGAAGGCCUUCCCCGUGGCAGUGGCAAAAAUCUUGGGGUCUCAAAUUUCAGCGGUGUUCUGUGUGAUGCCAAAGUUCGUUGUUCCUCCACCUAUAUCGCUUCAUUGUAAACCAUAGUUGCAGCACCCGCAAGGUUCCGCACCCAGUGCAGCUGAACUGGUCACACUCUCCUAAAUCUGCCUCUGACUAUGAUGCCCCCCUGGUCUACGGAACUCUCUUCCCAAUAAGCCUUGAGUGAUACCCAAGUUAUUGCCUGUUUGGCACCAGGAGAAGAUCUUUUUAUUUCCCCAUACUUUUAACAUCUGAUGCGAUUUUAAUACCCAUUCUAGUAUUUCAUUUUCACGCUGACUUUCCCCUGCUGUUUGUAUUAUGGAAGGAGUUCUAUGUCUUCAUGUUCUCUUAAUUUUGCAGGUAUACUUGAAACUACUGGAGACAAGACUGGAAACAUGAAGCCAUGUCUGGAGCCUGCAAGUCUGCAAGAUACAGUUCAAUCUAGUUCAAGCAUUUAAAUGUGUAUGAAAGGUCUGGUGCUUAUUAUGAAUCUUUAGUGAGUGCAUUCUGUCUCUCUGUCUCUGUCUCUCUCUUCCAGCCUCUAACAUCACUUUUGUUUUCUCCAUGAAUUGAUUUAAGUGACAUAGCAAGUUUAAAUUCAGUUGGACUGGUUAAUGAGAGGAAUAUAUUAUUUUGCACUUACCUGUAUGAAUGCCUGCAAAUUAAACAAUUUCACGUUCCUGCAAGCAGAUCAUCCCCGUUUGACUCACAGCCAGGCUCAGUAUCUUUCCAGCUGCCUGCUAUGGGAGGACCAUAUGCAAAGACAGGUGGACUUCUUUCCAAUUCAGAAGGGCUUCAGGUAGCACCUGUGUGGUCAAGGCUGAGCUAACCAUUGUACGAAGCAUGAGUGAGGGAUAUCUCUACUGUCUAACAGGUGAUGAUGCUCCUGAGUAUGAAUAGCAAUCUUUGCUCUGUUCCAUCAGCUAAGCUAUUCUAGAAGUCCGUACAGUAUAGUAGUAACCAUUUCAUGACCAUGCGGCAGGAGAACCAGGGCCCUCCGCUAUACACUGGGUGAAGUGAAAACCUUUUCUGCUGCAGAAUAGUGCUUGUGUAGCCUUUAGUACAGCAGUACAGAUGCCUCACUUUCCAAAGGAGGUGUAGUAGAGUUCAGACCACUGUUCAUCGGCAUUGCACACAUCCAUUUAAUUGGCCAUUAUCUAAUGGUGGUGCUGAGCUACAUAUAAAAGUGGAUGAGGGUGGCAGAAAAAAAUGGUCAGCUGGCAGUUUUGCACCGGACAUUUCAGAAAGAGAGGAGGACAAGGCAGCAGCAAUCUAUGUUGUGUCAUGUUUGGCUUACUAUGAAUGUAAAAGAUCUAGGGCAAGUUACAGGUCAUCAGAACCGUAUGCAGAGCAUAGAAUAUUGUUAUGUUCACCCCUCUUCUCCACAUGGUGAGAAGUUCCAGUAGUGCGGUACUUGCCUAGGUUCGGUUUGCUUUGGAAGGAAAUUACUGGAGACUUAUUGAUGUUUUGUAAUAUUUGCAUUUCCUUAGUGAUAUCUAGUCUGGGCAUAGGUGGAGGCACAGUUUCAACCAAAGCUGGCUCCAGGUUUCAUAUGCUCUUGGUCAAAACUCUUUUUGUGGGCCCUUCUCCCUCUGAAACUACUUUCUCGCUGCCGUUGUCUCCUCUUCCUCCUCACCACUACUGUUGUCAGCUUUAUUGCCAGGCAGAGAGAGGAUCAGCAAGCAGGCUGUGGUAUCUACUGCUCUUGAGUUUUUCCUACAAAGCACAUUUGGAGAUUCAGGUGACUUUAUAUUCCCACCUUGUGGGGCCAAAAGCAGCUGGGAUAAAAUUUUGAUUAGGAAAACGUAGGGCAGGGGGAGUUAAAUACCCAUUCUACCAAUGUGGGACUUCAAUUAAAUUAGCAGCACCCCACAGCUACAAUUCAAAAAGCAACAGGGGACAGUAUCCAAUGCACUCAUUCCUUUAGCAGGAAGAUUUGUACUUGUGCAACAUAACUACUUACCCACCCACUGCCCUGUGCACCCCACCCCAAAUUUGCUCGGGGGGGGGGAUACAGAAUAUAUUAAUAAAUCUUUCUGCUUGCAGAAGGAGGUACCUAGUGCUACAAUGGCUACAAGACAGGAACUCCAGUCACAGCGUUGGAGUAGCCAAGAGGGGGCAGGGAGGGGCAGCUGCCCCCAAUCAAUAAAAAAAAUUAAUACAUAGCAAACUGAGGCUCUGCCCCCCUAACAAAAGACCUGCUCCCCCUAACAAAAAUCCUCACUAUACCCAUGAGUCACAGGUCAUUUUAACAUGUAACUUUGUUCUCACAACCCUUUGAGGUUGCCUAGGCUGAGGGAGAGCCACUUGCCCAAAGUCUCCAAGUUUGGUAUAAAGCUUGAGCAGGGAUUCAAAGCACAUCCAAACCACAGUGCUCUAGCCACUACAUCACAUUAUAUAAUUUGUAAAGUAUUCCUGAAAUAAAUUAAGCUGAAGUCA